rnacentral:rRNA from 1 species
CAGUAGCCGCGGUAAUACAGAGGGUGCGAGCGUUAAUCGGAUUUACUGGGCGUAAAGCGUGCGUAGGCGGCUUUUUAAGUCGGAUGUGAAAUCCCUGAGCUUAACUUAGGAAUUGCAUUCGAUACUGGGAAGCUAGAGUAUGGGAGAGGAUGGUAGAAUUCCAGGUGUAGCGGUGAAAUGCGUAGAGAUCUGGAGGAAUACCGAUGGCGAAGGCAGCCAUCUGGCCUAAUACUGACGCUGAGGUACGAAAGCAUGGGGAGCAAACAGGAUUAGAUACCCCCGUAGUCCCUGUCCUUAUACA